AUCCUCAUACAAUUUUAGAUUGAUGUUUAACAAAUACCAGAAAACAUUUCCAGCGAAUCAAAUGCUUCCUUAGCAAAGUCAAGAGCCUCUGACUUGUCAUAGUGUCCUUUUGAUGACAUUACCAUAGAUAAAACAGCUGGUUAUGGUCCUUUCAUGUCUCCUUCAUCUGAACCCUAAAAAUAAUGUAACAAUCAAUUUCCAAAUGCAUCUUAUUUUCAACCAGGACACUGUGCAUACACAAUUCCACCAUAGAUCCACAACAAGCUGAACAGCCCCAGAUGCAAGAUGCUCCUGUGG